ensembl:snRNA U2 U2 spliceosomal RNA
AUGUUUUCUCAGUCUUUUGGCUAAGAUCAAGUGUAGUAUCUGUUCUUAUCAGUUUAAUUAGGUGGAAAGCUGUUUCUAAAACAUCUUGAUUGUUGAAUGGAAUUCCAUGGGUCUGGUCCAUUU